AGGGCCUUAGCUUAAUUAAAGUGUCUGAGUUGCAUUCAGAAGAUGUGAGAUAGAGUCUUGCAGGUCUUA
rnacentral:tRNA from 4 species